AAUAUUUCCAAGCACUUUCAAUAUCUGGGAUUAAUGUAAUUUUGUCCCAGUCAAAUUGAUCGAGGUCAAAUGAUAUGCAAAAUAUUUCUCAAAUAUGUGUUUGUACAUUGCACUAGGAAUCUUACCGUUAAUUACAAACUCUUGGCUUUCUCUCUUUGACAUGUUUUUUUCGGUAUUCUGCAUCAACAAACCCAUUAAUGUAAAAACUCCCAGAGCCACCAGAGCAAAAGGUUGCCUGGUCAGCAAACCAUUCAGUGUCACAAAGACCUUUUUGGAACGAGGCAGAAAUUACCACAUAUACAAUAUUAAUAUUAUUAGAAUGUUUAACAUGUACCAUUUAAUUUUCAAUGACCUUACCUAUAUAGCAUUCAUCAAUCUAGACCUAAUAAAACCAAAAAUGAGUGAACCUCUCCUCUGUUUUUCUGUCCCACCCUGCAACAAUGAGAUGUGCUGAUAGUUCCUUUUUAUAUUUGUAUGAAAUGUUUUUGACAUUUCAGCAGAGUGGGUCAUCUUCCACCACAGUACUGUCAAGACACAUUAUUCAAGUAUAUUAUUCAACACAGAAGUCUACAGGACAUUGGUGAUGAAUACCUGUGCACAUCCAGUUUGACUAUCUCAGCAAUGGUUUGAAAAUCCGCUGCUGAUCCAGACAGAGCAGAUCUUAUCAUGGAGAGGGAAGAGCUUGUACAUCACACGAUUCACCAAUGACUCCCUGAGAACUAUUUCCAAACAGCAGUUCUUGGUUGUAGUAAUCUAAUUAAAAUAUUUACUGAAUGAAUGUGACUAUGACUAUCAUUGGCUGUUUGUCUUUGUGUAUUGUGUAGUUCUUGGAGCAAACACAAGAUGAUGAAGUAGUGGCAGAUAAAAUGUGUGCCAAGAUUCACUACAUUGCACCCAACAUAUAUUGUUGUGGAGCAGGAACAGCUGUGGACACAGAGAAGACAACCCUUCUCCAUGAACAGCGUCAGGAACCCAAGAGUCAUCAUGGCAGUUAACAUACUACAAGACGUGCUCUUCAGGUAUCGAGGCAUGAUUGGCGCUCAUCUAAUUUUAGGGGGUGUUGUCUGCGCUGUCUGUCACCUGUACACGGUUGGCCCUUGUGGGAGCAUGAACAAUGUGCCAUAUCUUGGAAUAGGGUCUGGUAAACUGCUUGCUAUGGGGAUAGAGGACAGAUUCAAAGGGAACAUGGAUGUAAGCUGUUUUUUUGUUGAACCUCAUUAUUGUUUGUUUCCUGAUGUCAGUAUUACUGUGUUCAGGGUGAAAUAAAUGCAACAGAAAAAAAGGUAUUUUCUACUCUCAAAAAGUUGCUUCAAGGGGUCAUAAAUUGCAUUUUUUAAUAUUUGAUGAUGUUUC